AAGUCGAGCGGAGUGAUGGUGCUUGCACUAUCACUUACCGGCGGACGGGUGAGUAAUGCUUAGGAAUCUGCCAUUUAGUGGGGGACAACAUUCCGAAAGGAAUGCUAAUACCGCAUACGUCCUACGGGAGAAAGCAGGGGAUCUUCGGACCUUGCGCUAAAUGAUGAGCCUAAGUCGGAUUAGCUAGUUGGUGGGGUAAAGGCCUACCAAGGCGACGAUCUGUAGCGGGUCUGAGAGGAUGAUCCGCCACACUGGGACUGAGACACGGCCCAGACUCCUACGGGAGGCAGCAGUGGGGAAUAUUGGACAAUGGGCGGAAGCCUGAUCCAGCCAUGCCGUUUUUUUUGAAGAAGGCCUUUUGGUUGUAAAGCACUUUAAGCGAGGAGGAGGCUCUCCUAGUUAAUACCUAGGAAGAGUGGACGUUACUCGCAGAAUAAGCACCGGCUAACUCUGUGCCAGCAGCCGCGGUAA
rnacentral:rRNA from 1 species